rnacentral:rRNA from 1 species
GACGAACGCUGGCGGCGUGCCUAAUACAUGCAAGUCGAACGAACCGCGACUAAGUGCUUGCACUAAGUCAAGGUGAGUGGCGAACGGGUGAGUAACACGUGGGUAACCUACCUCAUAGUGGGGGAUAACAGUCGGAAACGACUGCUAAUACCGCAUAGGACAUAGGAUCACAUGAUCCAGUGAGGAAAGGUGGCGCAAGCUAUCGCUAAGAGAUGGACCCGCGGUGCAUUAGCUAGUUGGUAGGGUAAAGGCCUACCAAGGCGAUGAUGCAUAGCCGACCUGAGAGGGUGAUCGGCCACAUUGGGACUGAGACACGGCCCAAACUCCUACGGGAGGCAGCAGUAGGGAAUCUUCCGCAAUGGACGCAAGUCUGACGGAGCAACGCCGCGUGAGUGAAGAAGGUCUUCGGAUCGUAAAGCUCUGUCGUUAGAGAAGAACAGCGCAUAGAGUAACUGCUAUGCGUGUGACGGUAUCUAACCAGAAAGCCACGGCUAACUACGUG